CAUCUCUGGCUGAUGUGGCUCAGUGGAUUGAGCGCUGGCCUGUGAACCAUAGGGUCGCCAAUUUGAUCCCCGGUCAUGGCACACACCUGGGUUGCAGGCCAGGUGCCCAGUAGGGGGUGAGUGAGAGGCAACCAUACAU